AGCAGCCGCGGUAAUUCCAGCUCCAAUAGCGUAUAUUAAAGUUGUUGCAGUUAAAAAGCUCGUAGUUGAAUUUCGGGAUCAAAGAAUCGGUCAUGCCUUGGUAUGUACUGGUUUUAUUGGUUCUCACCUUCUAAAGAACCAUGAUGUCAUUCAUUUGAUGUUAUGGGGAAUUAGGACUGUUACCUUGAAAAAUUAGAGUGUUUAAAGCAAGCUUACGCUUGAAUACAUUAGCAUGGAAUAAUGAAAUAGGACAUCAGAUUCUAUUUUGUUGGUUUCUAGGAUCGAUGUAAUGAUUAAUAGGGAUAGUUGGGGGCAUUAGUAUUCAAUUGUCAGAGGUGAAAUUCUUGGAUUUAUUGAAGACUAACUACUGCGAAAGCAUUUGCCAAGGAUGUUUUCAUUAAUCAAGAACGAAAGUUAGGGGAUCGAAGACGAUCAGAUACCGUCGUAGUCUUAACCAUAAACUAUGCCGACUAGGGAUCGGAUGAUGUUAAUUUUUAAUGACUCU
rnacentral:sRNA from 1 species